AGUCAUUUGGUUAUAAAACCAAAAGGCAUAACGAAAGUAAAAUAAGCUUAGCUUAAUUAGGGAGGAUAAUUAUUUAACAAUAAUUUAUUAUUGUUAUAAUUCGCACUCCCGGGGCGUCUAUUACUCAUUGCGAGUAAAGGCGCACCUAGAGCGUACACGUUGGGACCCGAAAGAUGGUGAACUAUGCCUGGCCAGGAUGAAGCCAGGGGAAACCCUGGUGGAGGUCCGUAGCGAUUCUGACGUGCAAAUCGAUCGUCAGAGCUAGGUAUAGGGGCGAUAGACUUAUCGAACUAUCUAGUAGCUGGUUCCUUCCGAAGUUUCCCUCAGGAUAGCUGGUGCCAAUGAUGAUUAGAGUCUCAUCUGGUAAAGCGAAUGAUUAGAGGCCUUGGGGCCGAAACGACCUCAACCUAUUCUCAAACUUUAAAUGGAUGAGAGCCUUGGCUUGCUUAAAAGUGAAGCCAAGGAUUUGGAUCUAGGUGCCAAGUGGGCCAAUUUUGGUAAGCAGAACUGGCGCUGUGGGAUGAACCAAACGCAAAGUUAAGGCGCCCGAAUCAACGCUCAUGAGACACCAUGAAAGGCGUUGGUUGCUUAAGACAGCAGGGCGGCGGAAUCCGCUAAGGAGUGUGUAACAACUCACCUGCCGAAGCAACUAGCCCUGAAAAUGGAUGGCGCUGUAGCGUUGUGCCUAUACUUUGCCGUCAACGGCAAAUAAGGCAAUAUAUAUAUUUAUAUAUAUAUUGUGCUAUUAAGCCUUGACGAGUAGGAAGGUCGCAGCGAUGAGCGUAGAAGGGUCUGGGUGUAAACCUGCCUGGAGCCGUCGCUGGUGCAGAUCUUGGUGGUAGUAGCAAAUACUCCAGCGAGGACCUGGAGGACUGUUGUGGAGAAGGGUUUCUUGUGAACAGCUGUUGCACAAGAGUCAGUCGAUCCUAAGCUCUAGGAGAAAUCCAAUGUUGAUAGAUGCCUUAAUUUAAUAUUAUAGGCAUCUAUUGAGCGAAAGGGAAUCUGGUUCCUAUUCCAGAACCUGGUAGCGGAACCGUUCCAAAUUCGAGCCCUCAAUGAGCUUGUCGGGGUGACCUAAAAAGACCCGGAGACGCCGUUGGAAGGUUUGGGGAGAGUUGUCUCUUCUCUAUAAGCGUUCGAGUUCCCUGGAAUCCUCUAGCAGGGAGAUAGGGUUUGGAACGCGAAGAGCAUCGCAGUUACGGCGGUGUCCAAAUCUUUCCUUCGGACCUUGAAAAUCCGGGCGAGGGCUACGAGGAAUACCGCACCAGAUCGUACCCAUAUCCGCAGCAGGUCUCCAAGGUGAAUAGCCUCUAGUCGAUAGAAUAAUGUAGGUAAGGGAAGUCGGCAAGCUUGAUCCGUAACUUCGGGAUAAGGAUUGGCUCUGAGGAUCGUGGCGUGCUGGGCUUGGUCGGGAAGUGGAGCGGUGUCAAUUAGCCGGGCCUGGGCAAAGUAAACAGUUUUAACUGUUCAUCUAAGCUCGGUCCCGUGCCUUGGCCACCCACGGAUCUUCCUUGCAAUAGGCUCCAUAAUUGUCAGUUAUUAAGUUUUAUCUUGGUAAAACGGAUUGUGGGUCUUUUCGGCCGCCUUUUAACGAUCAACUCAGAACUGACACGGACAAUGGGAUUCCGACUGUCUAAUUAAAACAAAGUAUUGCGAUGGCCCCAAACGGGUGUUGACGCAAUAUGAUUUCUGCCCAGUGCUCUGAAUGUCAAUGUGAAGAAAUUCAAGUAAGCGCGGGUAAACGGCGGGAGUAACUAUGACUCUCUUAAGGUAGCCAAAUGCCUCGUCAUCUAAUUAGUGACGCGCAUGAAUGGAUUAACGAGAUUCCCAUCUGUCCCUAUCUACUAUCUAGCGAAACCACUGCCAAGGGAACGGGCUUGGAAAAAUUAGCGGGGAAAGAAGACCCUGUAGAGCUUGACUCUAGUCUGGUACUGUAAGGAGACAUGAGAGGUGUAGCAUAAGUGGGAGAUGACUUUGUCAUCGAUAGUGAAAUACCACUACUUUUAUAGUUUCCUUACUUAUUCGAUCAGGCGGAAGGCGUCUGCCUUGGGUACUUUGCCCAGGUUUGACGGUAUUCUUGCGCCAAGCGUUAGGGUUGUCGGUUUGUCUAGAUAACUUUGGCUUUUCAAGAUCAAGAUUUUUUGGUUCAUGGCUCAAGAAAUUGUUCAAGUAUCAAAUAUUUUGUUUCAAGUUUAGCCCAUGUAAGUGUCAAGACGCCGUCAACAUAGACCCCUAGCGUGAUCCGAUUCGAAGACACUAUCAGGCGGAUAGUUUGACUGGGGCGGUACAUCUGUCAAAAAAUAACGCAGGUGUCCUAAGGCCAGCUCAGCGAGGACAGAAACCUCGCGUAGAGCAAAAGGGCAAAUGCUGGCUUGAUCUCGAUGUUCAGUAUGCAUAGAGACUGCGAAAGCAUGGCCUAUCGAUCCUUUUAGUCUGAAGAACUUUCAGCAAGAGGUGUCAGAAAAGUUACCUCAGGGAUAACUGGCUUGUGGCAGCCAAGCGUUCAAAGCGACGUUGCUCUUUGAUCCUUCGAUGUCGGCUCUCCCUAUCAUAGUGAAGCAGAAUUCACUAAGACAGGUUAGUUUUACCCUACUAAUAAAUAGUUUUUGCGUUAGUAAUCCUGCUCAGUACGAGAGGAACCGCAGGUUCGGACAUUUGGUUCAUGCACUCGGUCGACAGGCCGAUGGUGCGAUGCUACCAUCCGUAGGAUUAU
rnacentral:rRNA from 1 species